rnacentral:rRNA from 1 species
UACAGAGGGGGCAAGCGUUGUUCGGAAUUACUGGGCGUAAAGGGCGCGUAGGCGGCCUGCUAAGUCGAACGUGAAAUCCCCGAGCUCAACUCGGGAACUGCGUCCGAUACUGGUUGGCUUGAAUCCGGGAGAGGGAUGCGGAAUUCCAGGUGUAGCGGUGAAAUGCGCAGAUAUCAGGAAGAACACCCGUGGCGAAAGCGGCUCUCUGGAACGGUACUGACGCUGAGACGCGAAAGCGUGGGGAGCGAACAGG